rnacentral:tRNA from 1 species
GACCCCGUAGCUCAGUUGGAUAGAGUAUCAGUUUCCGAAGCUGACGGUCAUGAGUUCGACUCUCAUCGGGGUCGCCA